rnacentral:ribozyme from 1 species
UUUUUUAAAAUUUUUAUUUUUAUUUUUUUCUUCUGUUUUUUAUUCCCAUUUUCCCACCUUUUCAAUA